rnacentral:rRNA from 1 species
UACGGGGGGGGGCAAGCGUUGUUCGGAAUUACUGGGCGUAAAGAGCGCGCAGGCGGUCGUUCAAGUCGCGUGUGAAAGCCCCCGGCUCAACUGGGGAGGGUCACGCGAUACUGAUCGACUGGAAGGCAGGAGAGGGUAGUGGAAUUCCCGGUGUAGUGGUGAAAUGCGUAGAUAUCGGGAGGAACACCAGUGGCGAAGGCGACUACCUGGCCUGUUCUUGACGCUGAGGCGCGAAAGCUAGGGGAGCAAACGGGG